rnacentral:rRNA from 1 species
CUUGACGAACAUAGAGCGUUGGAACCACCUGAUCCCAUCCCGAACUCAGCAGUGAAACGAUGCAUCGCCGAUGGUAGUGUGGAGCUUCUCCAUGUGAGAGUAGGUCAUCGUCAAGA